AGAGUUUGAUCAUGGCUCAGAAUCAACGCUGGCGGCGUGCCUCAGACAUGCAAGUCGAACGAUUAAAGCUCUCUUCGGAGAGUGUAUAGAGUGGCGCACGGGUGAGUAACACGUAAGUAAUCUACCCUCGAGUGGGAAUAACAACCGGAAACGGUUGCUAAUACCGCAUAAUGCAGCGGCACCGCAAGGUGACAGUUGUUAAAGAUUUAUCGCUUGAGGAGGAGCUUGCGGCAGAUUAGCUAGUUGGUAGGGUAACGGCUUACCAAGGCUACGAUCUGUAACCGGUCUAAGAGGACGGUCGGUCACACUGACGCUGAAUAACGGGUCAGACUCCUACGGGAGGCAGCAGUCGGGAAUUUUGGGGUAAUGGGCGAAAGCCUGACCCAGCAACGCCGCGUGAAGGAUGAAGUAUUUCGGUAUGUAAACUUCGAAAGAAUAGGAAGAAUUAAUGACGGUACUAUUUAUAAGGUCCGGCUAACUACGUG
rnacentral:rRNA from 1 species